UGGUUUAAGAAUUGCAGAUGGCGUCUUGUGAACGACGCCAUGCAUAUCAAAGUCGAUUCAUAACGCCUCAUCAUCCAGUAUGUCGUUUCCGUUUUAUAAAUUUCCAUGCGAGAAUUCUCUGUUUCUAUUCCACAUGUUUUCUCUUUCUACGAUUGUCAUCUUCCGCCGUCGAUCACAGCCCCCCAAAAAAAUUCUCAAACUGAUUUGGUGGGGAGAGCAUUCGCUUCUUCAUCUUUAUUUUUUGGGGAUCGGUUAAUGUUGGCCUUAUUCAACGAUUUGACAGACCGUUUCUGAUGGGCAUGUUGAUUAUCGGCUUUGUAUCCACCAUCCAGAUUAAUGAAUGGCUGGAGUACGCCCCUAUCUUCUCUUCUGCUCCACAAUAUGAACAGACAUGGUUGAUUCAUCCUCAUCUGUUUGUUCCUAUUUUUGAUGUUUUCCAAACAUGUUUGUUUAAUAUGCCGUGUUAUUUUUGAAUAACUGUUUCUGUUGUGAAAUCAA